rnacentral:lncRNA from 1 species
CCUGCAAGAAGAGACAGUAAAGUAAAUGUCAGAGAAUCUUGUUCGUGAGAGGCCGGCCUGGCUACAUGAGGAUAAAGUCCAGUGCCUCAAUCAAUUCUACUGCAUAAAAAAUGAAAAGGAUCAUUAAAUUACCAAGAGUAGGCAUCAAAAUAGACAGCGCUAAGGUGCCAGCAAUCUUGAGGGGCAAUCCGGUCUUGAUCAUGUCCGGAAUCUCAAUAUGUCCGGUUGUAAAACCCACAAUGUUUGAAGGAGUUCCUGUUGGGAGCAAGAAAGCAAACUGUGCUCCAAUGGCACCUGGCACCAUGAGGAGGAGUGGGUGCAAAUGCAUCGUCUUUGCAAUUUGGAUCAGGAGUGGGACCACAAGGGUCGUGGUGGAGUUAUUAGAAGUGAAUUCGGUGAUUGCCCCGCUAAUCAGGCAAACAAUUGGAGCAAUGGCCAAGUAUGGGGCAGCCUCCAAGAAAUCCAGAGCCUUGGAUAAGAUGUCUGCCAGCCCGCUUGACCUCACUCCAUUAGCUAUUGCAAAACCUGCCCCUAAGAGUAGUACGAUGUUCCAUGGCAGCUUCUUGCAUUUGUUCCAGUCCAUUAAUCUCUCUCCCUUCUGCUUCUUGUUUGGAAUUAUGAACAACAGGGUUGCCAUCAUCACCUACGCACGCAUCGCAGACCAAGCGUUUAAAGCUAUCUAAACAGAAACUACUACUUUAAUAAAUAUGGCUGGCAAGAAGCCAAGAAGCAUCAAGGUGGGAUAACACUUACACUAACAGUUCCAUCACCAGCGCGCCCCUGGAAUAGAGCGCCCCAUCCGGGAGUAUCAUCUGUGAUGCUUCUCGUCAUCCAUAACAGUAUCAAUAUCUAACAGUAACAACUAGCCCAAAAUCAGAAAUCAAGUAGCUCAACAUUUGAUCACUAAUUAAAUCCAGACUAGACUUACAGAAAACACGGCUAGAACCAUCUUUUCAGCAAAAGCCAUUGGACCUGCACAGUAGAUCAGAUGAAACUUUAGACUUGUAAUCAUAAAUAAAAAUUGAAAGGGCUUUCUUCUUUUGGAAAAGAAAAAAAAAAAAGAAGAAGAAGAAGAAAGAAACGAUCUGCUCUUGAGCAGAAUAGGAAGCUGUAAAAGUCCCGGGCUUACCAAGCAAGUCAAGCUCCCUUCUUAAGUGGGAUUUAUCGAGAUAGGCUGAGAGAGCUUGGCCGGAGCUCUUCCUGCAGUACAACAAGCAAAGUAUAGCCCACAAAACAAAGAAAAUGAGCAAAGCCAGCGGGAAGCCGAAGAAGAACCAGGUACUGAAGCUGAUGGGGUCGGCCUCGGGGAAAUAACUCCUCCACAUCCCCACCAAUAUGAGGUUGACACCUGUCCCGGUGAGCGUGCUCAUCCCCCCCACGGCGGCGGAGUAAAUUACACCCAGCACGACAGCCUUGCAGAAAUUAGUGACUUCGUUGGACCGAGUGGGGCCCGACGGAAACCUGUGCAAAAUUCCAGUAGCCACGGGCAUCAUCAUCACCGCCGCUGCCACGUUGUGCAUCCACAUGCUCACAAACGCUGUCGUGGCACAAAUCCCCAGCAGAAGUAACGGUGGAUUCAAGGGAUCACCACAAAAUACCAGAGUUAUCUGCAUAUGGACCCCCAAAUAAUGCAAGUCAAGAUUAAAAAAAAAUCACCCAAAAUGUUCAUCAUCAUCUUUUUUUCCUUUUUUUUUGGGGGACGCGGGGGGGGGGGGGGGCGAGGUAAGGCAGGACAACAUGGUACUGACUAGCUAGCUAGCAGUUUUGGUCCUGUGAUGAUGAUGGAUGGACGUAGGUUGAUGAGUCAAAAGAUGGGAGGGGACAAUUAGGUUAAUACAACAGUACCUGCAAGAAGAGACAGUAAAGUAAAUGUCAGAGAAUCUUGUUCGUGAGAGGCCGGCCUGGCUACAUGAGGAUAAAGUCCAGUGCCUCAAUCAAUUCUACUGCAUAAAAAAUGAAAAGGAUCAUUAAAUUACCAAGAGUAGGCAUCAAAAUAGACAGCGCUAAGGUGCCAGCAAUCUUGAGGGGCAAUCCGGUCUUGAUCAUGUCCGGAAUCUCAAUAUGUCCGGUUGUAAAACCCACAAUGUUUGAAGGAGUUCCUGUUGGGAGCAAGAAAGCAAACUGUGCUCCAAUGGCACCUGGCACCAUGAGGAGGAGUGGGUGCAAAUGCAUCGUCUUUGCA